rnacentral:rRNA from 1 species
AUGAACGCUAGCUACAGGCUUAACACAUGCAAGUCGAGGGGCAGCAUUUCAGUUUGCUUGCAAACUGGAGAUGGCGACCGGCGCACGGGUGAGUAACACGUAUCCAACCUGCCGAUAACUCGGGGAUAGCCUUUCGAAAGAAAGAUUAAUACCCGAUGGUAUAAUCAGACCGCAUGGUCUUGUUAUUAAAGAAUUUCGGUUAUCGAUGGGGAUGCGUUCCAUUAGGCAGUUGGUGAGGUAGCGGCUCACCAAACCUUCGAUGGAUAGGGGUUCUGAGAGGAAGGUCCCCCACAUUGGAACUGAGACACGGUCCAAACUCCUACGGGAGGCAGCAGUGAGGAAUAUUGGUCAAUGGGCGCAGGCCUGAACCAGCCAAGUAGCGUGAAGGAUGACUGCCCUAUGGGUUGUAAACUUCUUUUAUAUGGGAAUAAAGUUUUCCACGUGUGGAAUUUUGUAUGUACCAUAUGAAUAAGGAUCGGCUAACUCCGUGCCAGCAGCCGCGGUAAUACGGAGGAUCCGAGCGUUAUCCGGAUUUAUUGGGUUUAAAGGGAGCGUAGGUGGACAGUUAAGUCAGUUGUGAAAGUUUGCGGCUCAACCGUAAAAUUGCAGUUGAUACUGGCUGUCUUGAGUACAGUAGAGGUGGGCGGAAUUCGUGGUGUAGCGGUGAAAUGCUUAGAUAUCACGAAGAACUCCGAUUGCGAAGGCAGCUCACUGGACUGCAACUGACACUGAUGCUCGAAAGUGUGGGUAUCAAACAGGAUUAGAUACCCUGGUAGUCCACACAGUAAACGAUGAAUACUCGCUGUUUGCGAUAUACAGUAAGCGGCCAAGCGAAAGCAUUAAGUAUUCCACCUGGGGAGUACGCCGGCAACGGUGAAACUCAAAGGAAUUGACGGGGGCCCGCACAAGCGGAGGAACAUGUGGUUUAAUUCGAUGAUACGCGAGGAACCUUACCCGGGCUUAAAUUGCAUUUGAAUAUAUUGGAAACAGUAUAGCCGUAAGGCAAAUGUGAAGGUGCUGCAUGGUUGUCGUCAGCUCGUGCCGUGAGGUGUCGGCUUAAGUGCCAUAACGAGCGCAACCCUUAUCUUUAGUUACUAACAGGUCAUGCUGAGGACUCUAGAGAGACUGCCGUCGUAAGAUGUGAGGAAGGUGGGGAUGACGUCAAAUCAGCACGGCCCUUACGUCCGGGGCUACACACGUGUUACAAUGGGGGGUACAGAAGGCAGCUACCUGGUGACAGGAUGCUAAUCCCAAAAGCCUCUCUCAGUUCGGAUCGAAGUCUGCAACCCGACUUCGUGAAGCUGGAUUCGCUAGUAAUCGCGCAUCAGCCAUGGCGCGGUGAAUACGUUCCCGGGCCUUGUACACACCGCCCGUCAAGCCAUGAAAGCCGGGGGUACCUGAAGUACGUAACCGCAAGGAGCGUCCUAGGGUAAAACUGGUAAUUGGGGCU